rnacentral:tRNA from 1 species
UCGGGACGAGAGGAUUUGAACCUCCGACCCCCUGAACCCCAUUCAGGGGCGCUACCAAGCUUCGCCACGUCCCG